rnacentral:rRNA from 1 species
AGAUGUGUAUAAGAGACAGGCCUUAAGUGUAAGAGUCUUGGAGGUAGAGCACUGAUUGAACUAGGGGUCCUCAUCGGAUUACCGAAUUCAGUCAAACUCCGAAUGCCAAUGACUUAUCCUUAGGAGUCAGACUGCGAGUGAUAAGAUCCGUAGUCAAGAGCGAAACAGCCCAGAUCGCCAGCUAAGGUCCCAAAGUGUGUAUUAAGUGGAAAAGGAUGUG